UCUUUAACUUCCUUUUAGAUUGCCUUCCUAAUUCUGUCUGAUUCUCCUGAUUAGUAUUAGUGCCUUCCUAAUGUCUUAGUGUAUUUUCUCUUAUUUGUUAACUAAAGUGCUGAGCGAGUAUUGUCUAAAUUUGUGAUUUAUCAAAUGUGCAUCUCUGUUUAUGGAUUUGCUAUUUCCGUUUGUUUAUAGAAGAGUUUCAUAUGUAUUUAAAUCAUCUAAAACAAACUACUAUCUAAGAUCUCAGUGUUUGAAUGCAAUAAUAUAGGAAUAACAGGUAGCGCUUCUAUUCUUAAAAUAGAAGAUCAAUGCUAGAUAAACUUAGAUUGGAAGUGUUGGGAAGACUUUAUGUUAUGAAGAUAUUUGUGCUUACGAAGUACUUUUACAGGGCAUACACUUGGAUGCUUUUGUUGAUUGAACAGAAUUCGUAAGGUUCCCACUAUAAAAUCAACACAAACUUCAACGUCCGAAUUUUCUAUCAGACAAAAUGUUCUGUUGUCCAAGCAGAUCUGAAGACAAUGUUAAAGCUAGUUGAAUCAGAGAGCAAUACUACAUGACAUUGGAGAUGUUUGUUGCAAAUGCACACUCAUUUAAUGACAUUGGAGAUGUUCAUGUUCGUUACAGAUGCUAGGUGGAUGCUUCCUGAUGCAUGGUCUGAAAAUUUGGAAACUUAAUCCACGAAGGAAUGAUCGAAGGGGUUCGAUUUGAAGUCAACAUGUUUUUUAACCAAAGGGGCAAUUAGGAUCCGAAGACGGCACUCAAACUUCAAAUUCGAAAUUCAACACAUAUGUAAAUGACUUUGUUGUAUACUUUCGCAGUUUUGUAUGUCGAAAAUAAGUAUCUGACAGUCACAUGUAAGCAACAAAGUUUAUACUGUGUUUUGCAAAGUCGAAUUAAGAACAAGUUUAGAUGAAAUAAUUAAUUUUUUUUAAAUUUAA